UACGGGGGGGGCAAGCGUUGUUCGGAAUUACUGGGCGUAAAGGGCUCGUAGGCGGCCAACUAAGUCGGAUGUGAAAUCCCCAGGCUCAACUUGGGAACUGCAUCCGAUACUGGAUGGCUUGAAUUCGGGAGAGGGAUGCAGAAUUCCAGGUGUAGCGGUGAAAUGCGUAGAUAUCUGGAGGAAUACCGGUGGCGAAGGCGGCAUCCUGGACCGAUAUUGACGCUGAGGAGCGAAAGCUAGGGGAGCAAACGGG
rnacentral:rRNA from 1 species